rnacentral:rRNA from 1 species
GGGAAUCUUCCGCAAUGGACGAAAGUCUGACGGAGCAACGCCGCGUGUAUGAUGAAGGUCUUCGGAUUGUAAAGUACUGUCUUUGGGGAAGAACGGUGAGUUUGAAAAUAUUGAACCCUCAUGACGGUACCCAAGGAGGAAGCCCCGGCUAACUACGUGCCGGCAGCCGCGGUAAUACGUAGGGGGCGAGCGUUGUCCGGAAUUAUUGGGCGUAAAGGGCGCGUAGGCGGAUUCUUAAGUCUGGUGUGAAAGAUCAGGGCUCAACCCUGAGAGUGCAUCGGAAACUGGGUAUCUUGAGGACAGGAGAGGAAAGUGGAAUUCCACGUGUAGCGGUGAAAUGCGUAGAUAUGUGGAGGAACACCAGUGGCGAAGGCGACUUUCUGGACUGUAACUGACGCUGAGGCGCGAAAGCGUGGGGAGCAAAC